rnacentral:rRNA from 1 species
CCUACGGGAGGCAGCAGUGGGGAAUCUUCCGCAAUGGGCGCAAGCCUGACGGAGCAACGCCGCGUGAGUGAAGAAGGUCUUCGGAUCGUAAAGCUCUGUUGAUGGGGACGAACGUGCCUAAUGCGAAUAGUAUUAGGCAAUGACGGUACCCAUCGAGGAAGCCACGGCUAACUACGUGCCAGCAGCCGCGGUAAUACGUAGGUGGCGAGCGUUGUCCGGAAUCAUUGGGCGUAAAGGGAGCACAGGCGGGCAUGUAAGUCUUUCUUAAAAGUGCGGGGCUCAACCCCGUGAUGGGAAAGAAACUAUAUGUCUUGAGUACAGGAGAUGAAAGCGGAAUUCCCAGUGUAGCGGUGAAAUGCGUAGAUAUUGGGAGGAACACCAGUGGCGAAGGCGGCUUUCUGGACUGCAACUGACGCUGAGGCUCGAAAGCCAGGGGAGCGAACGGGAUUAGAUACCCUUGUAGUC